UAUAAAAACAGUACUCCUCACAGCUACCUGUUCGACUUGUUUCUAUCCAUUGAAUCUGCAACAGAUUAGGUUGCCGUUGCCGGUAACUUCUAUUGUGGGCUAAGCCCCAUCCCCCUCGACGAUUCUAGGAUCACUGUUCUAGAUAAUCCCUUCGUAAGCUGAUCAGCCAAAUUUUUUGUAGAUUUCACAAAUUCCAAUUCAAUCACAUUUUCCUUCAAAAUCUGAUUGAGGAUAGCAUAUUUCACAAAUUCUAAUCCAAUCACUGUUCUAGUUUAAUUUUUUGCUUCUUCAGAAAUUCAACUAUUUAUGAUUUAUUAGGAUAGCAUAUUUCACCAUUGAGGUGAUCGAUUUAUCUUAUUAUAAAAAAUGACCUGAAGUCUAAUUUUUUUUNCACAUUUUCCUUCAAAAUCUGAUUGAGGAUAGCAUAUUUCACAAAUUCUAAUCCAAUCACUGUUCUAGUUUAAUUUUUUGCUUCUUCAGAAAUUCAACUAUUUAUGAUUUAUUAGGAUAGCAUAUUUCACCAUUGAGGUGAUCGAUUUAUCUUAUUAUAAAAAAUGACCUGAAGUCUAAUUUUUUUUUUUUUUUUUUUAUUAAUGAUCCUUAUCAGCAAAAGUUGAAAUUUUACAAAUUUGUACAUUUCAACUAUUUAUGAUUUAUUAGGAUAGCAUAUUUCACCAUUGAGGUGAUCGAUUUAUCUUAUUAUAAAAAAUG
rnacentral:lncRNA from 1 species